AAUCAACGCUGGCGGCGUGCCUAACACAUGCAAGUCGAACGCGAAAGUGGAGCAAUCCAUGAGUAGAGUGGCAAACGGGUGAGUAACACGUGGGUGACCUGCCUUAGAGUGGGGGAUAACGUCCCGAAAGGGACGCUAAUACCGCAUAACAUGCUGCCUUUUAAGAGGUGGACAUCAAAGCCGGGGACCGCAAGGCCUGGCGCUUAAAGAGGGGCCCGCGCCUGAUUAGCUAGUUGGUGGGGUAAUGGCUCACCAAGGCAACGAUCAGUAUCCGGCCUGAGAGGGCGGACGGACACACUGGGACUGAGACACGGCCCAGACUCCUACGGGAGGCAGCAGUGGGGAAUUGUUCGCAAUGGGCGCAAGCCUGACGACGCAACGCCGCGUGGAGGAUGAAGAUCUUCGGGUUGUAAACUCCUUUCGAUCGAGACGAAUGGCCCUUGGGCUAACAUCCUGAGGGAGUGACGGUACCGAGAGAAGAAGCCCCCGGCUAAACUCCCGUAGCCC
rnacentral:rRNA from 1 species